ACCUGGGGAGUACGAACGCAAGUUUGAAACUCAAAGGAAUUGACGGGGGCCCGCACAAGCGGUGGGUUAUGUGGCUUAAUUCGAUGAUACGCGAGGAACCUUACCAAGGCUUAAAUGGGAAUUGAUCGGUUUAGAAAUAGACCUUCCUUCGGGCAAUUUUCAAGGUGCUGCAUGGUUGUCGUCAGCUCGUGCCGUGAGGUGUUAGGUUAAGUCCUGCAACGAGCGCAACCCCUGUCACUAGUUGCCAUCAUUCAGUUGGGGACUCUAGUGAGACUGCCUACGCAAGUAGAGAGGAAGGUGGGGGUGACGUCAAAUCAUCACGGCCCUUACGCCUUGGGCCACACACGUAAUACAAUGGCCGGUACAGAGGGCAGCUACACAGCGAUGUGAUGCAAAUCUCGAAAGCCGGUCUCAGUUCGGAUUGGAGUCUGCAACUCGGCUCUAUGAAGCUGGAAUCGCUAGUAAUCGCGCAUCAGCCAUGGCGCGGUGAACACGUUCCCGGGCCUUGUACACACCGCCCGUCAAGCCAUGGAAGUCUGGGGUACCUGAAGUCGGUGACCGUAAAAGGAGCUGCCUAGGGUAAAACAGGUAACUAGGGCUAAGUCGUAACAAGG
rnacentral:rRNA from 1 species